UACGGAGGGUGCAAGCAUUAAUCGGAUUGAUUGGGCGUAAAGGGCGCGUAGGUGGGAAUGCAAGUCAGAUGUGAAAUCCCGGGGCUCAACCCCGGAACAGCAUUUGAAACUGCAUUUCUUGAGGGUAGGCGGGGAAAACGGAAUUCCACAUGUAGCGGUGAAAUGCGUAGAUAUGUGGAAGAACACCUGUGGCGAAAGCGGUUUUCUAGCUUACUCCUGACACUGAGGCGCGAAAGCAAGGGGAGCAAACAGG
rnacentral:rRNA from 1 species